CUCGUUAGUUUUCCAGCCCAUUCUCACCCUCUCCCAUUCCCUCAUCCCCUCGUCCAAUCCAAUCGACCUGGGCGAACAGCCCUACCGACAGGCGACAGCGCCGCCGCCGGCGAAUCCCUUCAUCCUCUGCCUCGAUCGCUCCCUUUAUCCUCUGCCUCGAUCGCUCCCUCCCAUGUUGCCUCCUUGUCCCGCUGUUCUAUGUCAGCCGACGAAUUCCUCCAGCGCAUGCACACGGGAAAGAGAUCACUUGGAGUAGAACUACCCGCGUACAAGAAUUGGCAGGAAAGGGGAUCGUCACAUGCAUGAAGUUGUUGCCAUGUUGAACUGCGAGGCCACGGUUCACUCAGUCGCAGAUGAUGGCGAGGCGACAAAGACGUACAGUGUGCCCAGCUCAUCCCGUGUUCGAUUGGGCUGGGGCGCUGGAACGAAUCUCCUAGCCAAAUUUUAGCACGGAGGCGCCCUCCAGAGCACCUUGCCGCUGAUAGGACAUGGUGAGGCUUCAACGAAUCAUCCAUGGAUCCGACGAUUUCAAGGCUUCGAAGGAUUAAAUAUGAGAACAUAAUUCUCGAAACGGAGGAGGUUCAAUUGGUGUUCCUGGAGAUGACAAGAAAGAUCAUUCAAGGGAAGAGGAUUCGUUGCGAGAGAGUCGAAUGCCGGAACGGACGGUCCUCUCAAAGGGCUCAUUGCAGCAUCACAAAGACACGGGCAACGGUGCUACUGCUGAUGGUAGAGAGGAGAUCAACGGCAAGGGAGGCAAGGGAAAAACUGAGGGUGCGAAACAGAGUUUAUUCUAGAUGUCUUUUUUUGCUGAUCAACUCCAUCUCAAUCCCCAUCCAUCUUCCUCUAAUUUUUCUUUUGUUUCUGUACAUGUCAAGUCAAAGAGGGUUUACAACUAGGUAUAAAGCUUCACGAGGACUCAUCUUCUUGGGAUGGAAGAUGAUCAGUUACUGAUAAGUUAUAAAAUUUCUAUAUUAUGGUGAUGGUACCGACUGGGUGUUCUUUCAGAUUUACUUCUAUCAUGUGUAAUAAAACACGUUCAGCUUAUGUAGAUGAUGCACAGAUACUGCAGUAAAAGUAAAUAUUACCUGUAAACUGAACUGUUGAUUUAGUAAUUCUACUUUUGGUCCAGCGAUCGAUCAAUUGUUGAGGCUACACUAAACCAAAAAUUGCUUACUGGGGCAGUACUAUAGUCUCUUGAUUACGCUCUCAAGUAAAUAUCAUGUCUUCCUCUAAUUAGAAAUUUAGAAAACAAUAGGUUAAUCAGAAGCUUUCUUACAAAAAGAGUGCUCUUCAGAAGCUACUACAUGUAUACGCGAACAUCACAUGCAUGUUUUCUUAAUUUUCAGGUGCUUGUGAAUAUCUGCGGAAGUACAGUAGCCUGUAGCUUGUAGGCGUUGAACUAAAUACCAACCAAGUAGGAGCGAAAGGAAGAUAAUAUAGGUUUUGAUCCGCCAAAAGGUCUAUUUAUUCUCAUUUCAGUUAAGAUUUACCUCUAAAACAUUGCAUGAACUCCUGCGCAUAUUGGAUACUUUAUUUAUGCACCUUCUUGCAUUUUAAUUCCAUGUAAGUUGUGUACUCUAUUUGAUAAGUUAUUUGUAUUUUGGCUACAAAUGAUUUUAUUGGAUAUACUGUAGACAUUUUCCGCAGGGACUGUUGCAGCUUGCUAGACAUAGGAAAAGAUGGGAGUCAAUCCAAGAUGACAUCAGCAACCAAAGGUGAACAUUUAUAUAAACAUUUUGGUUUUCUGAUACAGGAAUAAUCAUGUGUUUUUUUCUUUGAAGGUGUGUGAUUUUCUUGCAGUGUGGAAAUUAUUAUUAUGAUAACUCAUCAGAGAUGGGUACUUACAUUAUUUUCUUCUUACAAAGAAAUUCAAGUUUGAAUCUUAGAUUUAACAAUUAUUUUACAUGUCAUGAAGUGUGUACUGCAUCGCUCAGAAAAAGCAUAGCUUCCAUCCAGCGGCUUUGGCCGAGUUAAUCUGUGCAUUGAUGUUUCACCAUUUCCUGAAGUUAUAUAACUAUUGUGGUUUCCUUCAGGUUAAUGCGAUUACUCAAUUAAGUGAAAGUUAAUCGUUGCUCCUUGAUCAAGGCUAUUAAUUUAUAGAUGGGUCUUCGAGUAUACUCAUAGUAGUCCAGUGACGAGUAUAAGUUGAAGCAAGAGUCUAUUACAUAAAAAACAUUUUCAUUUGAAAGUAGCCAUAAGAUAGAAAUGGCUAUACAUAUAUUAUAUACAUGGAACUAAGAUGUAUAUAGCAUACCCAGCUUCGAGAGACUAUUAUCCUCUUUUUGGUUA